UGGGGAAUAUUGCACAAUGGGCGCAAGCCUGAUGCAGCAACGCCGCGUGAACGAUGAAGGUCUUCGGAUCGUAAAGUUCUGUUGCAGGGGAAGAUAAUGACGGUACCCUGUGAGGAAGCCCCGGCUAACUACGUGCCAGCAGCCGCGGUAAUACGUAGGGGGCUAGCGUUAUCCGGAUUUACUGGGCGUAAAGGGUGCGUAGGUGGUCUUUCAAGUCGGUGGUUAAAGGCUACGGCUCAACCGUAGUUAGCCUCCGAAACUGGAAGACUUGAGUGCAGGCGAGGAAAGUGGAAUUCCCAGUGUAGCGGUGAAAUGCGUAGAUAUUGGGAGGAACACCAGUAGCGAAGGCGGCUAUCUGGACAGUAACUGACGCUGAGGCGCGAAAGCGUGGGUAGCAAACAGG
rnacentral:rRNA from 1 species